rnacentral:tRNA from 1 species
GUGGGUGUAGCUCAAGCGGUAGAGUGCAUGCUUAGCAUGCACAAGGUCCUGGGUUCAAUCCCCGGUACCUCCU